AUCCAAUUGACGAGCUCUAAAUAGGACGGAACGCGCGUCCUGAAU
rfam:Schistosoma curassoni strain Dakar, Senegal genome assembly, scaffold: SCTD_scaffold0002947